AAAAGCUGACACAAUAUGAGGAUUUAAAGAUUGAAUUACAAAGACUCUGGCACAAGCCAGCCAAGGUGGUCCCAGGGGUAAUCGGCACACUGGGUGCAGUGUCUAAAGACCUUGGCCUGCACUUAAACACAAUCGGCGCUGACAAAAUCCCCACCUGCCAGCUGCAGAAGGCCACCUUACUGGGAUCUGCACGCAUUAUUCGCCGAUACAUCACACAGCCCUAGACACUUGGGAAGUGUCCGACGUAUGAUCCAAUACAACCACCAGCAGAGUGUGUGCUGUGGACUCAUCUUGUUGUGUUUCAAAUAAUAAUAAUAAUGGCUUUAAGAGAAGAAGAGACCCCUUGGGUCAUUUAGCCCAACCCCCUUCUGCCUUUGUGCACCGAAAGCACAAGCACAGCACCCCUGACAGAUGGCCACCCAGCCUCAAUGUUAAUAAUAAUAAUAAUAAUAAUAAUAUAACCCUUGUGCCAUGGGGCCGGAUAAAUGGCUUCGAUGGGCCACAUCCGGCCCCCGGGCCUUAGUUUGGGGACCCCUGCUCUACUGUAUUAUUAUUAUUAUUAUUAAGAGACCUAUGGGCCAUCCAGUUCAACCCCAUUCUGCCAAGAAGCAGGAAAACCGCAUUCAAAGCCCCCCUGACAGAUGGCCACCCAGCCUCGGUUUAAAAGACUCCAAAGACGGAGCCUCUACCAGACUCCGGGGCAGAGAGUUCCACUGCUGAACAGUUCUCUCUCACAGUGAGGAAGUUCUUCCUCAUGUUCAGGUGAAAUCUCCUUCCUUUCCUGUAGUUUGAAGCCAUUCAGGGCAGCAAAAAACAAGCUUGCUAAUUCCUCCCCAUGACUCUCCUCAUAUCUCCUCUCAACCUUCUCUUCUGCAAGCUAAACAUGCCCAGCUCUUUAAGCCGCUCCUCACAGGGCUUGUUCUCCGGAUCUUUGAUCCUUUGAGUCACCAUCCCCGGACACAUUCCAGCUUGUCAACAUCUCCCUCCAUCAAAGGGGAGAUGGAGGCACUGACCCCUCUUUCUCCCUCAAUUCCAG
rnacentral:lncRNA from 1 species